ensembl:lncRNA
UACGCACAGUGGCAGAAGACUUACAAUCCCUCUUCGGACAUGGUGGUACCUCGGUCGACCAAAUUGAUUGCAGAGGACCCCGAGGGCGGCCUCUUCACCGUGACGCUGUUCCGGAGAGUGAUGGAUGAUUUCAAAACCAAAGCCAAAGAGAACAAGUUCAUGGUUCGUGAGUUUUACUAUGAUGAGAAAGAAAUUAAGAAAGAGAGGGAAGAGAUGACCAGGUUGCUGUCGGACAAGAAGCAGCAGUAUCAAAAUUCCUGUGUUACUCUUAAAAAGGGAUCAUCCAUCUCCCGGGACCACAAGGUUAAGGGGAGCCCCACUAGGGAGCCCCACUAGGCUGGCUGCGGGGCAGCCGACAGAGAGAGAGAGUGAGGGGGCGAGGGUGAGGGGUGGCAGCCCCUCCGGGAGCCCUGGGUCCCGGCUCGCAUCUCCGCCGUGCAGGUGGCUUUGGUGCAACACGUCUCCGCCACUUCCAGGGUCUCUUGGGGCUUUGGAGGUCUCACAUUCUAGGAGCCGGGAUCCGCCUUCUCUAGGGUCACCCUCCUGCAGGGAUCGGUGCUUGCCAGCCAGGUGCCUGUGCCCUGGCUGCGGUGGCUGGAGCUGGUGACAGGCGGCUGCCCCAGAGGACUGGCACGGGGCGGCAGUCAGGGGCUGCAGGCCUCCGCCCUGGGCCUUGGUGGCCCUUAGCAUGCGCUGGUGGCUGUGCAGGACGCCUCAGUCCUGAGCCUCCCCAUGGCUCCCUCUCUGGUGCUUCUGCAGCUCCUCGGCGACCCCUCCACCCGAGUCCUCCCUGCCCGGCGAGUGGCGGGAGGGUCACGUGGUCCUCAUUUCUGCAGGGUCCACUGCUGCGCUGGCUCAAGGUGAACUUCAGUGAGGCCUUCACUGCCUGGAUCCAUAUCAAGGCCCUCAGGGUGUUCGUGGAGUCCGUGCUCAGGUACGGGCUGCCAGUGAACUUCCAGGCUGUGCUCCUGCAGCGCACAGAAGUCCGCCUGGCAGCGCUUGAGGGAGGUGCUGAACUCGGUCUUCCGGCAUCUGGGCGAGGUGGCGGCUGCGAGUGUCCUGGAUGCGUCGGUGGAGAUCCCGGGGCUGCAGCUCGGCAGCCAGGACUACUUCCCCUACGUCUACUUCCGCAUCGACCUCAGCCUCCUGGACUAGGCGGCCCGGGCUUCCCGAGUGCGGGCCACCGCUGAGGCUACGGCUUCUCGCUCUAGAACCAAGGCGCUCCGAAGUCCGGCAGAACCUCCACUCGCAGAGAUCUCGCAGGGAGUUAGACACAGUGUAUUUAUUUCGUUAUAAUAAAGUGCUUGGUCCUUUGAGCCGUGUCCUCAGUUCUAACAGAGCCGACUCGGCGCUGUCCUGCGGGCCCGUGUGAACCGCCCGUGCCCCCAGCGCUGCCCGGACGCCAAGCACUAGGGGGUCCUCCCUCGGGAGGCGGCCUCCGCGCUGCCCGAGACGCUCUGGGGCUCGGACUGGGGGCCUCAGGACACCCGCGGCGGCGUCUGGGUGGCCGAGGUCUCUUACGGGGAGGGGAGACAGCAACUCCGGCCCGUGGUUCAGACGUAAUUUACUGACUCACGAUCAGACUCUGAUGCGGACACUAAUUUCAUACGUUUAUCGGCAUUGUCCAAAAUAAUGUUUUAUUCUUUAAUGGAAAAAGCCAUUAAUAUUCAAAUGAAGAAUCACAUUUUAAAAAACCUACAUGUAAGAAACAGCCUCCGGGAACACUCAAGCAGCCUUCAGUCAAGAGGGAGGGAAAACCGUGGCCGACAGCCCGGUUUUCUUCAAAUUAUUAGGUGGCAGAGCACAGCCGACCCGCUGCUACAAUGCAUAGUUUUUCCGUGUUUGGAGGCGCGAGGUGCGGGGGCAGUGCCUUCCAGGAGCCGCCGGCCGGGUGAGGCCCGGGAUGCAGCCUCCCGCACCGCUGGAUGCUGCUCGCUCCCAGGGCGGGGCCGCGGCCCUCACAACUCGUCCUUCUCCAGGUCGUCCAGCUCCACGUCGCUCAGGUCGAUGUCGUCCUCCACGGGCAGCUGUGGGACAGAAGCCACCGUCAGAGGGGCGCCGGACCGGCCACCAGUGUCCUUCCAGACGGCACCCAGCCACUGGCCGCUCCUUCCCAGCCUGGCUCCCACUACCCAGAUGGGAAAGCCCAGGACCUGGGUGCUGCGUGGCUUUUUAUUUUUUCAGUUUUCCGAGACACUGUGUAGCCCAGUGUGGCCUGGAAGACACGGCCAUCCUCCUGCCUCGGCCCCCAAAUGAUGGGGUUAAGGUGUGCACCACCACGCCUGGCAGGAAUUCGGAUUCGAAAUCUAGUUUCAC